rnacentral:tRNA from 2 species
GGAGGGGUGCCUGAGUGGUUUAAAGGAGUGGUCUCGAAAACCAUUGGUUGCCUUGGGCGACCCGUGAGUUCGAAUCUCACCCCCUCCGCCA